CCAGGAUAUAAAUCAGUGACCGAGGAGGCUGAAGAAAAAGAUACUGAAAAUGGUGGUGGAUACACACGAAUGCUAACGCCUCAUACCACCCAAUUCUGCGCUGAUCCAGUCUUGUUAGUCCUGCAGCGACGACAGGAGAUAAAAGAGGAAGGGUGCAGGGCUGUUUCUAACAGGUGGGGUGGGCGAGCCUGACCCCAGUCAGAGGCCCACGGUCUGUCUGGCGCAGUUUCACUGGGACUUCAGUGGGAGAAAGCAGGAGGGAUAAGGAAGGAUGGGAGAAAGGCGGAGAUAAGACAGGAAAUGACACUUGCCGAACACCUACUGCAGGGCAGCCUUUUCCGUUCAUUACCUUAUUCUAGGCUCACAACAGCCCCUCAGGAUCGGCAGAGGACCCCUGAGAUGGCCAUUCGGGUGUUGUCUGCUCAGAAUGUCAUCCCCUUCUUCUGGGCAAUGCUGCUUUAGACCACAAGGUAUGGUGGGGGCUGCCGGUCAUUGGCCUCCACCAGCCUGGCCACAGAGACUGCUCCAGAGAUGUACAUGUGAACCAGCAUGACCCAAGAAGUGGUCUUCCCUGGGUUCUCCAACGCGGAGUAGGGAAAGAGAGCCUUUCAUCUUUGGUCAUUCAACUCUGACAAUAUAAAUUUGAAAUAGCUGGUGACUAUGAGUCCUUACCCUUAGGAAAGAAAAACACUGGUAAGUCCCGAUAAUGCUCCAAUCCCUCGAUUGUGUACAUGAACCAAUAAAUUUCCCUUUUUCUGUUAGAUUACUUCAGGUGGUUUCUGCCACUUGCAACUUAAAGAAUGAUGACUACUGUUUGCCCUGGUUUUCUGGAUCCUACCGUGAGAGGCAUGGGCCCUGCAUUUCCAGGAUAAGAUGGAGGAAAGAGACCCAUCUGCCUCAGAGAGAAGGCAGAGGGCUCACUCAUCUCAUGUGUAUCCUAUUCCGUGGCAAUAGGCUUUGGCUAGCUCUCAUGCAGCAACCCAUCCCCUGGCAGUGCGCUACAGCCUUGCUACUCAAAAGUGUGGUCCAAAACCCACCUGCAGGGACAUCACGUGGGAGAUGGUUGAAAAAGCAGAAUCCAGGAGCCCACCCUAGGUCUACUUAA
rnacentral:lncRNA from 1 species